rnacentral:rRNA from 1 species
ACGAACGCUGGCGGCGCGCCUAACACAUGCAAGUCGAACGGAGCUUACUGGAUGAAGUUUUCGGAUGGAUGAAAGUAAGCUUAGUGGCGGACGGGUGAGUAACACGUGAGCAACCUGCCUUCCAGUGGGGAAUAACGUUUGGAAACGAACGCUAAUACCGCAUAACACAGAGAGACGGCAUCGUUUUUCUGUCAAAGAUUUAUCGCUGGAAGAUGGGCUCGCGUCCGAUUAGAUAGUUGGCGGGGUAACGGCCCACCAAGUCGACGAUCGGUAGCCGGACUGAGAGGUUGAACGGCCACAUUGGGACUGAGACACGGCCCAGACUCCUACGGGAGGCAGCAGUGGGGGAUAUUGCACAAUGGAGGAAACUCUGAUGCAGCGACGCCGCGUGAGGGAAGACGGUUUUCGGAUUGUAAACCUCUGUCCAGAGGGACGAAGAAAGUGACGGUACCUCUGGAGGAAGCACCGGCUAACUACGUGCCAGCAGCCGCGGUAAUACGUAGGGUGCAAGCGUUGUCCGGAAUUACUGGGUGUAAAGGGAGCGUAGGCGGGGACGCAAGUUGAAUGUUUAAACUAUGGGCUCAACCCAUAGUCGCGUUCAAAACUGUGACUCUUGAGUGAAGUAGAGGCAGGCGGAAUUCCUAGUGUAGCGGUGAAAUGCGUAGAUAUUAGGAGGAACACCAGUGGCGAAGGCGGCCUGCUGGGCUUUUACUGACGCUGAGGCUCGAAAGUGCGGGGAGCAAACAGGAUUAGAUACCCUGGUAGUCCGCACCGUAAACGAUGAUUACUAGGUGUGGGUAUGCAAAUAUCCGUGCCGGAGUUAACACAAUAAGUAAUCCACCUGGGGAGUACGACCGCAAGGUUGAAACUCAAAGGAAUUGACGGGGGCCCGCACAAGCAGUGGAUUAUGUGGUUUAAUUCGAAGCAACGCGAAGAACCUUACCAGGUCUUGACAUCUCCUGAAUAGGCUAGAGAUAGCUGAAGCCCUUCGGGGCAGGAAGACAGGUGGUGCAUGGUUGUCGUCAGCUCGUGUCGUGAGAUGUUGGGUUAAGUCCCGCAACGAGCGCAACCCUUAUUACUAGUUACUACGCAAGAGGACUCUAGUGAGACUGCCGUUGACAAAACGGAGGAAGGUGGGGAUGACGUCAAAUCAUCAUGCCCCUUAUGACCUGGGCUACACACGUAAUACAAUGGCGCAUAACAGAGGGAAGCAAGACAGUGAUGUGGAGCAAACCCCUAAAAUGCGUCCCAGUUCAGAUUGCAGGCUGCAACUCGCCUGCAUGAAGUCGGAAUUGCUAGUAAUCGCGGAUCAGCAUGCCGCGGUGAAUACGUUCCCGGGCCUUGUACACACCGCCCGUCACACCAUGGGAGUCGGUAACACCCGAAGUCAGUAGCCUAACCGCAAGGGGGGCGCUGCCGAAGGUGGGAUUGAUGACUGGGGUG